UACUACUGAUUUCAAAGGCUAAGAGCGCCACCUCGUGUGGCAACGCCUUUGUGACCACAUCCUGUUAG
rnacentral:sRNA from 1 species